AUCGCUUCUCGGCCUCCUGGCUAAGAUCAUGUGAGAGUAUCUGUUCUCGUCAGCUUAACAUCUGACGGUAGUUGCCACAGCGCAGCUGCGAUGUUAUUCACGAGAUUUUUGUAACCGGGUCUUGGCGAAGCUUGCUUCCCUGACCAUGGGUUGACCCAGUAUAGCACUGUAGCUGGGAGCAGCCCCCCCCCC
rnacentral:snRNA from 1 species